GGCGAGAUGGCCGAGUGGUCUAAGGCGCCAGACUAAGGUAGCUCAAUGGUGAAAACAUUAUCUGGUCCGAAAGGGCGUGGGUUCGAAUCCCACUCUCGUCA